UUAAUUGAAACCAAAAAGAGGUAUAUCACUGUUAAUGAUAAAAAUGAACCAAUGUUCCAAUUAAG
rnacentral:tRNA from 1 species